UACGUUCCCGGGUCUUGUACACACCGCCCGUCAAACCAUGAAAGUCGGCAAUACCUGACGUAUGAGCUUUGUCUCGUCCUAAGGUAGGGCAGAUGAUUGGGGUU
rnacentral:rRNA from 1 species